GAGGAAUAUUGGUCAAUGGGCGCAAGCCUGAACCAGCCAUGCCGCGUGCAGGAUGAAGCAUCUAUGGUGUGUAAACUGCUUUUGUACGGGAAGAAACAACUCUACGUGUAGAGUCUUGACGGUACCGUAAGAAUAAGGAUCGGCUAACUCCGUGCCAGCAGCCGCGGUAAUACGGAGGAUCCAAGCGUUAUCCGGAAUCAUUGGGUUUAAAGGGUCCGUAGGCGGUUUUGUAAGUCAGUGGUGAAAUCCGGCAGCUUAACUGUCGAACUGCCAUUGAUACCGCAGGACUUGAAUUACUGUGAAGUAACUAGAAUAUGUAGUGUAGCGGUGAAAUGCUUAGAUAUUACAUGGAAUACCAAUUGCGAAGGCAGGUUACUAGCCGUAUAUUGACGCUGAUGGACGAAAGCGUGGGGAGCGAACAGGAUUAGAUACCCUGGUAGUCCACGCCGUAAACGAUGGAUACUAGCUGGUCGAGAGCAAUCUUUGAGUGGCAUAGCGAAAGUGAUAAGUAUCCCACCUGGGGAGUACGAACGCAAGGUUUG
rnacentral:rRNA from 1 species